rnacentral:rRNA from 1 species
GACGAACCGUGCGAACGUUGUUCGGAAUCACUGGGCUUAAAGGGCGCGUAGGCGGCCAUGCGUGUCUUCCGUGAAAUCCCUCGGCUUAACUGAGGACGUGCGGAAGAAACUGCAAGGCUUGAGUCCGGGAGAGGGGGGUGGAAUUCCCAGUGUAGCGGUGAAAUGCGUAGAUAUUGGGAGGAACACCGGUGGCGAAGGCGGCCCCCUGGACCGGUACUGACGCUGAGGCGCGAAAGCGUGGGUAGCAAACGGG